rnacentral:rRNA from 1 species
GAUGAACGCUGGCGGCGUGCCUAAUACAUGCAAGUCGAGCGAACAGACGAGGAGCUUGCUCCUCUGACGUUAGCGGCGGACGGGUGAGUAACACGUGGAUAACCUACCUAUAAGACUGGGAUAACUUCGGGAAACCGGAGCUAAUACCGGAUAACAUGUUGAACCGCAUGGUUCAACAGUGAAAGACGGUUUUGCUGUCACUUAUAGAUGGAUCCGCGCCGCAUUGGCUAGUUGGUAAGGUAACGGCUUACCAAGGCAACGAUGCGUAGCCGACCUGAGAGGGUGAUCGGCCACACUGGAACUGAGACACGGUCCAGACUCCUACGGGAGGCAGCAGUAGGGAAUCUUCCGCAAUGGGCGAAAGCCUGACGGAGCAACGCCGCGUGAGUGAAGAAGGUCUUCGGAUCGUAAAACUCUGUUAUUAGGGAAGAACAAAUGUGUAAGUAACUAUGCACGUCUUGACGGUACCUAAUCAGAAAGCCACGGCUAACUACGUG